UAUAAGACUGGGAUAACUUCGGGAAACCGGAGCUAAUACCGGAUAAUAUAUUGAACCGCAUGGUUCAAUAGUGAAAGACGGUUUUGCUGUCACUUAUAGAUGGAUCCGCGCCGCAUUAGCUAGUUGGUAAGGUAACGGCUUACCAAGGCAACGAUGCGUAGCCGACCUGAGAGGGAGAUCGGCCACACUGGAACUGAGACACGGUCCAGACUCCUACGGGAGGCAGCAGUAGGGAAUCUUCCGCAAUGGGCGAAAGCCUGACGGAGCAACGCCGCGUGAGUGAUGAAGGUCUUCGGAUCGUAAAACUCUGUUAUUAGGGAAGAACAAAUGUGUAAGUAACUAUGCACGUCUUGACGGUACCUAAUCAGAAAGCCACGGCUAACUACGUGCCAGCAGCCGCGGUAAUACGUAGGUGGCAAGCGUUAUCCGGAAUUAUUGGGCGUAAAGCGCGCGUAGGCGGUUUUUUAAGUCUGAUGUGAAAGCCCACGGCUCAACCGUGGAGGGUCAUUGGAAACUGGAAAACUUGAGUGCAGAAGAGGAAAGUGGAAUUCCAUGUGUAGCGGUGAAAUGCGCAGAGAUAUGGAGGAACACCAGUGGCGAAGGCGACUUUCUGGUCUGUAACUGACGCUGAUGUGCGAAAGCGUGGGGAUCAAACAGGAUUAGAUACCCUGGUAGUCCACGCCGUAAACGAUGAGUGCUAAGUGUUAGGGGGUUUCCGCCCCUUAGUGCUGCAGCUAACGCAUUAAGCACUCCGCCUGGGGAGUACGACCGCAAGGUUGAAACUCAAG
rnacentral:rRNA from 1 species